rnacentral:rRNA from 1 species
CCCUUAGACGUUCUGGGCCGCACGCGCGCUACACUGACGAAGGCAACGAGCUUUCCUUUACCGAAAGGUACGGGUAAUCUUUUGAAACUUCGUCGUGCUGGGGAUAGAUCCUUGCAAUUUUUGAUCUUAAACGAGGAAUGCCUAGUAAGCGCAAGUCAUCAACUUGCGUUGAUUACGUCCCUGCCCUUUGUACACACCGCCCGUCGCUACUACCGAUUGAAUGGUUUAGUGAGGCCUUCGGAUCCGCGAUUCGUUUGUGGAGAAGUUGGACAAACUCAGUCAUUUAGAGGAAGUAAAAGUCGUAACA